GAUGAACGCUGGCGGCGUGCUUAACACAUGCAAGUCGAACGAAGCAUUUAAGACAGAUUACUUCGGUUUGAGGUCUUUUAUGACUGAGUGGCGGACGGGUGAGUAACGCGUGGGUAACCUGCCUCAUACAGGGGGAUAGCAGCUGGAAACGGCUGGUAAUACCGCAUAAGCGCACAGUACCACAUGGUACAGUGUGAAAAACUCCGGUGGUAUGAGAUGGACCCGCGUCUGAUUAGCUUGUUGGCGGGGUAACGGCCCACCAGGGCGACGAUCAGUAGCCGACCUGAGAGGGUGACCGGCCACAUUGGGACUGAGACACGGCCCAGACUCCUACGGGAGGCAGCAGUGGGGAAUAUUGCACAAUGGAGGAAACUCUGAUGCAGCGACGCCGCGUGAGUGAAGAAGUAGUUCGCUAUGUAAAGCUCUAUCAGCAGGGAAGAUAGUGACGGUACCUGACUAAGAAGCUCCGGCUAAAUACGUG
rnacentral:rRNA from 1 species